AAGCCCCGGAGCUCUAUUUGAGCUCUUCUUCAAACUUGCAUUUUGAUGUGAAUCACUUCAGGACU
rnacentral:tRNA from 1 species